rnacentral:rRNA from 1 species
GAUGAACGCUAGCGGCAGGCCUAACACAUGCAAGUCGAGGGGUAGAAGGAGCUUGCUCCUUUUAGACCGGCGCACGGGUGCGUAACGCUUAUGCAAUCUACCUUGUACAGGGGAAUAGCCCAGAGAAAUUUGGAUUAAUGCCCCAUAGUAUAUAACCUUCGCAUGUUGGUUAUAUUAAAUUUCCAACGGUACAAGAUGAGCAUGCGUCCCAUUAGUUAGUUGGUAAGGUAACGGCUUACCAAGCCGAUGAUGGGUACGGGUCCUGAGAGGGAGAUCCACCACAAUUGUACUGAGACACGGACCACAAUGGUACGCGACGGAGCAGUGUGGAAUACUAGUCAAUGGUGGCAAGACUGACAAAGCCACGCCGCGGGCAGAAAGCCGCUCAUAGGGAAUCUAAGCUGCUUUUAAACAGGAAGAAACCAUCCAACGAGUCACGGCUUGACGGUACCGUAGGAAUAAGGCUCGGCUAACUCCGUG